UUUGGGCGCCGAGCGGGAGUUGGUGGCAGCGGUUGCGGUGGCACUGACGAAAGGCAGGAAAGGGCCGGCCGUGUGAGCAGGUGGACCGACUGAGCCCAGCAGACAGCCAGCCAACAGCGAACUGACCGAGCAGUCUACCACUUACGCAUCUAGCCAACCAAACCAGUUCACCCGAGCCCCUUCACCAUCAACUCAGGUUCGGCCGGCCCCCGGCCCGCCUUCCGCAGCCGACGUGGCAGCCCCGGGAGGAGCACUGGCGUCCUUUUCCUUCGAUCCUCGGGAUUUGAAGAUGGCUGCACAGUCAGCACCUAAAGUUGUGCUAAAAAGCACCACCAAGAUGUCUCUAAAUGAGCGCUUUACUAAUAUGCUGAAGAACCAACAGCCGAUGCCAGUGAAUAUUCGGGCUUCGAUGCAGCAACAGCAGCAGCUAGCCAGUGCCAGAAACAGAAGACUGGCCCAGCAGAUGGAAAAUAGACCCUCUGUCCAGGCAGCAUUAAAACUUAAACAGAGCUUAAAGCAGCGCCUGGGUAAGAGUAACAUCCAGGCACGGUUAGGCCGACCCAUAGGGGCCCUGGCCAGGGGAGCGAUCGGAGGACGAGGCCUACCCAUAAUCCAGAGAGCCUUGCCUAGAGGAGGACCACGUGGGGGACGUGCCACAGGAACCCUACUUAGGGGCGGGAUGUCACUUCGAGGUCAAAACCUGCUCCGAGGUGGACGAGCCGUAGCUCCCCAAAUGGGCUUAAGAAGAGGUGGUGUUCGAGGUCGUGGAGGUCCUGGGAGAGGGUGCCUAGGGCUUGAAGCUAUGGGUCGUGGCAGAAUCGGUGGUAGAGGUCGGGGUAUGAUAGGUCGGGGAAGAGGGGGCUUUGGAGGCCGAGGCCGUGGACGAGGGAGAGGUGCCUUUGCUCGCCCUGCACUGACCAAGGAACAGCUGGACAACCAAUUGGAUGCAUACAUGUCGAAAACAAAAGGACACCUGGAUGCGGAGUUGGAUGCCUACAUGGCACAGACAGAUCCUGAAACCAAUGAUUGAAGUCUGCCUUCCCUCCUCUGAGAGACUUGUUAAAAAGUUACCACAUCUGUAAAUAACCUUGAGAUGACAGAUGAGAGAAGAGCCUACCUGACUGAUGCUGGAAGGACUUAUCACAAUAGACUAUGGACUUACUUGCCACCAGUGUGUGCAUUUAGUGUGUUCCUUUUACUUUUUUGAUAACUAUUAUAUGAAACCCUUUUUUCC